UCAAAAUUCCAAGAUGAUGUGACAGACAUUUCAGAAAGUCUUUAGUGGUCUUACAAGAAUGAAUACGACUGAAACAGCAAAGCUUGACUGACAAAUUUGAGAUGAAAAUGCUAGUUAUGAAAGUUUUAUUAUAAAAUUGUGAUUACUGGUUUCUUAAAUGGCUGUUGUUCAUUCCUGUUAAUGCCAUGAUCUUUUCACUAUUUCUCACCAAUAGGAUGUAAAAAAAUAAAAAAUCAACUGACAUGUUUUUGGAGCUUUUUGUUUGUUUGUUUUAGGAAUGAGCACAAGCUCAAGGAGGCAGGGCAUAACGUAUGAGGUGGAGACAUCACACAGUAACAGUAAGGAGACAAGCUGACAGCAUGCUUCUCUUAUGAACAGAGGGUCACAGCCAACCUUGCUGCUACAAGCUGGGACAAAGAUUUUUUGGGAGAAGCUUCUUUUGGGGAAUCAGCAUCAUCAACAGCAGGAUUAUACUCCCAGACUACGAUAUCAUUCUCAACACCUUUAAGGUUGAAGUUCACUAAUUUGUCUAAGGAGAAUCCUCCAAUCUGGAGAGAGCAGAGGAAAAGAGGAAAAAACACCGGACAUCUUUUUUAUGUGAAGGAUUUCAAAGCAGCCUCUUCCAUAGUAUUAAUCAUCCAGAAAAAAGACCCUCGCCCUAUCAGUGCACAGUAUGGAUCUGCAUUAGAGGUGAAUCAGGACUAUGCAGCGAAGGAGAUGGAGCCACACACUGAACAAUGAGAAAACAAAAGAGAGAACAACUGCUCAUUAAGUGAGCACUGCCCAUUCCAUGCACUGAACGAGGCUAGUAUCCUGUGGAAAAUAGUAUGUGAUCACGUAAUUAAAGAUGGCAUCAUAAUGCUUGUGCACAGGAGGGAGAGAUUAAAAUUGCUCAACCAACCUUAAUUGUAGCAUGUUCUUUUAACAUAUAUUAUGCACACAAAAACUAUAUUGAUAUUUUGCUGAUGGUGACUAAGUGUCUUACUCUCCCGCAUAAGGGAUAGGCAAGAAACAAGCAGGUAAUAAUUAAGUUACAAUUAUAACAGAUUUAGAAAAUAUCAAUCUCAGACUGAUAAUACUUAAA